GCGCAGUUCAAAAUGGUUCUUUCCUGGAUCGUGUGAUAUUUCUCUGAUCAAAGGCUAAUAUAAGCAUUUCCAUUGUGCAGAAUAUAAGAACAAUAACGGUAAGUUCUAAAUAUUAGUGUAAAUCGAUUCUAUGCAUGUCUAAUAAAAUUUUUCCCUUAAUGCCUAACAUUUCUGCGAUAGAAUCAUGCCUUGACUUUUAGCCGAUUGUAAUUUCCUUGAAGCGAUGACGUGUUUUAAAAUUUUUUUUUACGUUCUGCAGCAAACAACUGAUAUAUUUGAAUUAAACAUCAGAUUUAAUACUUCGAUCCGUAUAAGGAAAAGGCAUUUUUGUAGAAUUUCCUAGGCCUAUUUAAUGCUAAGCUUUCCAGAUGGCGCUGUUAUUCGCUCUGAUCUAAAUUAAAUUUUGAUUACUAUACUUUUCUUGCUAAGAAAAGAAGUCCAUUUAAAUAAUUUUGUAAUAAAACGCUAAAUACCUUUAAUCUAUUUAAAUAGAAUACCAUUAAAAAUUAUAGCUAUGAUUAAAGCGUUCAUCUUAUUAUAUUCAUUCCCUUCUUGUUUUGAUAGAAUCACUUACGUUAUAAAUUCUAUUUAGAGAAUUUUAUUUGAUCAAAGUUCACCUUAUAAAAAGAAUAUUGUUACUUUAUUAAGACAGAGUUUACAUGUUUGUUUUGUAAAUACGAUUCAAUUUUAUAAAACGAUAGCAUAUAUAUAUAUAUAUAUAAUUUAUAUUAGUAUAUUAAUAUAUAUACUGUAUAUAGAAUAACGUAUGUGAUGCUUCCAUAUGUGACAGGACGAUAAAUAAUGAUACCCUUAGCUUUUUAAUCAACAUAAUAUAGAUCUCUUAUACUUUUUCGUUACUGAUUUUAUUCAUUAGCUUCUUGAAUUAUUUAUAGUAAAAAUAAUAAAGAUUUCCUCCCAAACAUUUAUUAUCUUACCAUCAUCCUCCCUAUGCUUUUAUUAAUUUUAUUAUUAUUACCUAAUUGUUCACUUAUUCUCUCUUUCUCUCUCUUGCUUUACAGUUAAAAACGAAUAUCAAUUUAAAUUAUGGCAGAUAAUAUUGUGUCAUCAGUUUUGAAUGGUGUAUCAUAUUUCUUCGAUGCGUUAACAUACAUUCCAUACAAAAUUAGUAGUGGUUCACAAGUUUCCGAACGCUUACGACGCUCUGAGGAAAUUCGGGCUAAGCAAUUAGAUCCUAGUGAACCUCUUUCUCCUUGGCGUCAUAUAAACAACUUGGACAGCUUAUGCGAAUCUCCUUUUCCUGAUUGCUAUACAAUUUGUGAUUUAUUCAAUCGGUCUCUUAAACUUAACACGAAUAGACCAUGCUUUGGUACAAGACCAGUUUUGUCUCUAAGCGAAGAAAAGCAACCUGAUGGAAAAGUCUUUCAGAAGAUGAUUUUAGGCGAUUAUGAAUGGCAAACCUAUCAGGAAGUCGAUGUCAGAAUUGAUAAUGUUGGGAGGGGAUUAACAAAACUGAAUCAGCAGCCCAAAUCUAGGAUUUUAAUAUUCGCGGAGACUAGAGCCGACUGGGCAGUUUGUAUGCACGCCUGUUUUAGGUAUAAUUUUCCUAUUGUUACGUUAUACGCUACUCUGGGAGAAGAAGCUAUAAUUCAUGGAAUAACUGAAAGUGAAGUUACUCAUGUUAUCACAUCUGCUGAAUUAUUGCCAAAAUUUAAGUCAUUAAUGUCCAGGAUACCAAAAGUCACCAAUAUUAUUUAUAUGGACGGUAAUAAGCCACUUAAGGGUUUUACAUUACCUGGUAACGUAAAAAUUACACCAUUAAGUGAAGUUGAAAGUAUUGGCUCUUCACCUAUUCAAAAUUUCAACAAAAGCGAACCAAAACCCCACGAUAUUGCUGUAAUUAUGUAUACAAGCGGCUCUACUGGUGUACCGAAAGGAGUUUUGAUAUCACACUAUAAUAUAUUAUGCGCAGUUGCUGGACUAUCUGAAAGAAUUUUCCACCUUGGCGAGGAGCUAAAGAAUAAUAGAAGGGUUAAAAGUGAAGAAGACGUCUACAUUGCCUAUCUUCCUCUUGCUCAUAUUUUGGAACUAACCUGUGAAAUAUCACUGAUUGCUUAUGGAGCAUCUCUGGGUUUUGGAUCACCAUUAACCUUGACUGACAAGUCACCUAAAAUAAAAUCGGGUUCAAAAGGUGAUUUGGCAGCACUUCGCCCAACAUUGAUGGCUGGUGUACCCCUUGUGCUAGACCGCCUGUUUAAGUUGGUUUGGGAAAAUGUAAAUGGCGGUGGUUUCGCUAAAAGGGUUCUAUUCAAGUUUCUCCUCUCAUACAAGAGGCGCCAUUAUAGCAGCGGUUCAAAGACUCCGCUUUGCGACGCUCUAAUAUUUAAAAAAUUGAAUUCUAUAUUGGGUGGUCGUCUAAGAAUGAUUGCUUCUGGAGGAGCUCCUCUUUCAGCGGAAACCCAAAAUUUCAUAACUCUUGCCUUCUGCUUUCCUUUGGGUCAAGGAUACGGUUUAACUGAAACUUGCGGAGCAGCUAGUCUCUGUGAACUAUCUAGAGAUUUAUCUGCCGGCCAUGUGGGUCCAGCACUUAGGAGCUGUGAAUUACGAUUAAGAGAUUGGACGGAAGGUGGUUACACAGUUCUAGACAAACCUUUUCCUCGAGGAGAAGUGCUAGUCGGAGGAGGAAAUGUUGCUCUCGGCUAUUUUAAGAAUGAGGAAAAAACCGCUGAAGAUUUCAUUACCCUAAACGGCAUUAGAUACUUUUGUACAGGAGAUAUUGGCGAAAUUGAUGGUCACGGAAGAUUAAGAAUUAUAGAUAGGAAGAAAGAUCUUGUUAAAUUGCAAGCCGGAGAAUAUAUCUCUUUGGGAAAGGUAGAAACCUUGCUUAAGUUAUCGCCUGUUAUUGAUAACAUAUGCGUAUACGCUGACUCUUAUAAAGAUUUUGCUGUUGCUCUUAUCGUACCAAAUCAUAAAGCCUUGGAGAAUUUGGGUCAAAAAUUGAAUAAAACAUUCAAUAAUUAUACUGAUCUAAUCAAUGACGAUGACGUUUUGAAAAGCGUCAGGGAUGAAAUUGGAAAACAAGCUAAAUCUUCCAAGCUAUUACGUACGGAAACUCCUCAGCGGAUUACCUUAGUCAAAGAAGUUUGGUUACCAGAAACUGGAUUGGUUACGGCAGCAAUGAAGUUAAAGAGAAGAGAAAUAGAAAAAUUCUAUAGUGCCGAUUUAGAAAGGAUGUAUAACGAAUAGGUCACUUUUUCCUCAUCACAACUAGUCUUCUUAGAAUAUAGUCAAUUACUAGAAACUUUUUAAUCGCAAAAAAACAAAGCUCUUAUCUAUCUCAAUAAAUUAGUCUCUUCUUUUCUUUUUAUAUAUCUAUACAGUAUAUGUUUGUUAUAAAUGUUAAUGAAGUAUCACAGAAUUUUCCUUUCCCUUUUUAAUUUUUUUUUUUAAAAAAAAAGGAAGGCAAAUAAAAAUUCAACUAUUUUUUUUCUGUUUUA
rnacentral:misc_RNA from 1 species